GCACUGCUGAGGAGUCCCAUAAUAGGACGAAACGGCAGUCCAGUAC
rnacentral:hammerhead_ribozyme from 1 species